CCCUUAGAUGUUCUGGGCUGCACGCGCGCUACACUGAUGCGUUCAACGAGUUUAUGACCUUGCCCGAUAGGGUUGGGUAAUCUUUUUAAAUCGCAUCGUGAUGGGGAUAGAUUAUUGCAAUUAUUAAUCUUCAACGAGGAAUUCCUAGUAAGCGCGAGUCAUCAGCUCGUGCUGAUUACGUCCCUGCCCUUUGUACACACCGCCCGUCGCUCCUACCGAUUGAAUGUGUUGGUGAGGAGCUCGGAUUGGCAGCAGUUGGUGGUUCGCCACCGGCUAUUGCUGAGAAGUCCUCCAAACCGCCCCAUUUAGAGGAAGGAGAAGUCGUAACA
rnacentral:rRNA from 1 species